rnacentral:rRNA from 1 species
UACGAAGGGGGCUAGCGUUGCUCGGAAUGACUGGGCGUAAAGGGCGCGUAGGCGGUCUGUCACGUCAGGAGUGAAAACUCGGGGCUCAACCCCGAGCCUGCUUCUGAUACGGGCAGACUGGAGGUAUGCAGGGGAGAACGGAAUUCCUGGUGUAGCGGUGAAAUGCGCAGAUAUCAGGAGGAACACCGGUGGCGAAGGCGGUUCUCUGGGCAUUACCUGACGCUGAGGAGCGAAAGUGUGGGGAGCGAACAGG